UGGCUAAAUGGUAAAGCACUCGGCUUCCUAACCGGUGGCCCCGGGUUCGAUUCCCGG
rnacentral:tRNA from 1 species